rnacentral:rRNA from 1 species
AAUUACCCACUCCCAGCACGGGGAGGUAGUGACGAAAAAUAACGAUACGGGACUCAUCCGAGGCCCCGUAAUCGGAAUGAGUACAUUUUAAAACUAUCCCCAAAGAUCAAUUGGAGGGUAAGUCUGGUGCCAGCAGCCGCGGUAAUUCCAGCUCCAAUAGCGUAUAUUAAAGUUGUUGCGGUUAAAAAGCUCGUAGUCGAAUCUGUGUCCCGCGCCGCUGGUUCAUCGCUCGCGGUGUUCAACUGGCGUGUCUCGCGGGACGUCCUGCCGGUGGGCUCGCGUAUUGCUUCGGCGGUGCGUGGCCCAACUCGUUUCCGUCUCGCGCGGUUAUGAAUCCCAUCGCGGUGCUCUUUAUUGAGUGUCGAGGUGGGCCGGCACGUUUACUUUGAACAAAUUAGAGUGCUUAAAGCAGGCCAAUUUUGCCUGAAUAUUGUGUGCAUGGAAUAAUGAAAUAGGACCUCGGUUCUAUUUUGUUGGUUUUCGGAACCCCGAGGUAAUGAUUAAUAGGAACGGAUGGGGGCAUUCGUAUUGCGACGUUAGAGGUGAAAUUCUUGGAUCGUCGCAAGACGGACAGAAGCGAAAGCAUUUGCCAAAAACGUUUUCAUUGAUCAAGAACGAAAGUUAGAGGUUCGAAGGCGAUCAGAUACCGCCCUAGUUCUAACCAUAAACGAUGCCAGCUAGCGAUCCGCCGACGUUCCUCCGAUGACUCGGCGGGCAGCUUCCGGGAAACCAAAGCUUUUGGGUUCCGGGGGAAGUAUGGUUGCAAAGCUGAAACUUAAAGGAAUUGACGGAAGGGCACCACCAGGAGUGGAGCCUGCGGCUUAAUUUGACUCAACACGGGACACCUCACCAGGCCCGGACACCGGAAGGAUUGACAGAUUGAUAGCUCUUUCUUGAUUCGGUGGGUGGUGGUGCAUGGCCGUU